CCUCUAGAGCUAGAUACCGUGUUGCUACCUCAUAUACAAUUCCAUUAAUUCCUAAUGUGUUUGUCUGCCUGCCCUGUCAACCUCUGGUCUGAACCAUGAAUUUCUACGUGACCCUGUUUUCUGGGAACCUGGAAGAGAGCACUCCCGGACAGGUCAGAAUGCUAUUAAAAGGUGAAGCAGGAGGUGCUGGCGGCUCUAGACUGUGGCUACAAACACAAUGAUUGUGCUGCAGUUUCCAGUAAAGAGCAGGAGGUGGGGGAGGCACUCGCUCUGAGGCUGGGACCAGGAAAAGUGAGCCGCACGCACACACUGUCUUUCCAAGGCCAUUCUACGCUUCCGGGACCAUUCUGACACACACAAACACACAGGAAGAAUAAUCAGGUCGAGGAAAAGUAGAAGUUUGAUCGAAGAGCAUUACCAAAAGUCUUUAAAAGCUACACAUGAUCACAAGUAUGUGGACACCUGCUACUCAAACAUUUAAUUCCAAAAUCAUGGGUAUUAAUAUGGAGUUGGUCCAGCCCUUUGCUGAUAUAACAGCCUCCACUCUUCUGGGAAGGCUUUCCUCUAGAUGUUGGAACAUUGCUGCGGUGACUUGCUUCCAUUCAGCCACAAGAGCAUUAGUGAGGUCGGGCACUGAUGUUGGGUGAUUAGGUCUGGCUCGCAGUCUGCGUUCCAAUUUAUCCCAAAGGUGUUCAAUGGGGUUGAGGUCGGAGCUCUGCAGGCCAGUCAAGUUCUUCUACACCAAUCUCUACAACGUUUCUGUAUGGACCUUGCUUUGUGCACAGGGGCAUUGUCAUGCUGAAGCAGGAAAGAGCCUUCACCAAACUGUUGCCACUCAUUUGGAAGCACAGAAUCGUCUAGAAUGUCAGUGUAUGCUGUAGCGUUAAGAUUUCCCUUCAGUGGAACUAAGGGGCCUAGUCCAAACUAUGAAAACACAGCCCCAGACCAUUAUUCCUUAUCCACCAAACUUUACAGUUGGCACUAUGCAUUGGGGCAGGUAGCGUUCUCCUGGCAUCCGCCAAACCAAGAUUUGUCCGUCGGACUGCCAGAUGAGGAAGCUGAUUGUUGAAAAGGUGUCAUUACUAUGACUGUGUCACAUUGAAAGUCACUGAGCUCUUUAGCGUAGCCUAGUGGUUAGAGCGUUGGACUAGUAACCGGAAGGUUGCGAGUUCAAACCCCCGAGCUGACAAGGUACAAAUCUGUCGUUCUGCCCCUGAACAGGCAGUUAACCCACUGUUCCCAGGCCGUCAUUGAAAAUACAAAUAUGUUCUUAACUGACUUGCCUGGUUAAAUAAAGGUUAAAACAUUUUUUUUUUAAAUUAAAAAAAAACAAGGCCAUACGACUGCCAAUGUUUGUCUAUGGAGAUUGCAUGGCUAGGUGCUCGAUUUUAUACACCUGUCAGCAACGUUUUUGCUGAAAUGUCCAAAUCCACUAAUUUGAAUGGAUGUCCACAUACUUUUGUACAUAUAGUGUAUGUGUGUCAUGUGUGUUGAUCCCCUGUGCAGUCCCCCAGACCCUGCGUCAUGAGGAUGUGUUUCUGACCUCUAAGCUGUGUAACACCCAGCAUCACCCUGACUACGUAGAGACAGCCUGUAGUAAGAGUCUAAUACACCUGGGACUGGAAUACCUGGCCCUCUACCUCAUGUACUGGCCCACAGCCUUCCAGUGAGCAACACACACAUACACCUAAUCACACCUCGAAUUUGUCCCACACGUUGGUCCUCUGAGCUGCCUGCGUGUUCUCCAGGCGUGGGACAGAGCUGAUGCCCAAGCGGGUCAUUGGCAGUGUGAGUUAUGAUGACAUACAAACUGGGAAACCUGGGUUGCCAUGGAGAACCUGGUUGAUAAGGGGAUGGUCCGAGGAAUCGGUCUGUCCAUCUUCAAUUAGGUAUGUGUGGUGUGUGUGUGUACAGUAUGUUUUUGUAAUGGUGUCUCACUCUGUGUGUUAGUAGGUGGAGUGUCACCCAUGUCUGUCCCAGGCCGAGCUGCUGAGUCACUGCAGGUGGCAGGUACAGAGAGGGAUGGUCUGCAUCCCCAAGAGCGUUACUCCUUCCAGGAUCCUGCAGAACCUGCAGGUGUUUGACUUCUCCUGUCGCAUGAAGACCUGAAGCAGAUCGAGUCAUUCAACAGAAACGAGAGGUACAUCAUCCCGGCUGUGGAGA